GCGGGUGCGCCGACGCUGGAGAGUCGGGCCUGUCUGUAGAACAGGUGCUUCGCGCUGAGGAGGUUCGAGUCCUCCCACCCGCAC
rnacentral:tRNA from 1 species